UACGGAGGGUGCGAGCGUUGUCCGGAAUCACUGGGCGUAAAGGGCGCGUAGGCGGCAUGCCAAGCGUGUGGUGAAAGCCCGGGGCUCAACCCCGGGUCGGCCGUGCGGACUGGCGUGCUCGAGCACUGUAGGGGCGGGUGGAAUUCCGGGUGUAGCGGUGGAAUGCGUAGAGAUCCGGAAGAACACCGGUGGCGAAGGCGGCCCGCUGGGCAACUGCUGACACUGAGGCGCGACAGCGUGGGGAGCAAACAGG
rnacentral:rRNA from 1 species